rnacentral:tRNA from 3 species
GCCUUGAUGGUGAAAUGGUAGACACGCGAGACUCAAAAUCUCGUGCUAAAAAGCGUGGAGGUUCGAAUCCUCUUCAAGGCA